AGACUUUGCUGCAAUAUGUCAUCUGACGAUGAUGAAAGGAAUAUGAUGAUAAUAACAUUGUUCAACAAAGGCUUAAAACAAAAGGAAAUCAGCUGUGCACUGAAUUCAUAUGGGCAUAAAAUAAGUGAGAGGCAUCUGAGACGAGUUUUAAAACUUCUAGGGUUGAAGCGAAGAUGCCCCC